UACGUAGGCAGCGAGCGUUGUUCGGAGUUACUGGGCGUAAAGAGUGCGUAGGCGGUUUUCUAAGUUUGGUGUGAAAUCUCCCGGCUCAACUGGGAGGGUGCGCCGAAAACUGGAAGGCUAGAGUGCGGGAUGGGAGAGUGGAAUUCCUGGUGUAGCGGUGAAAUGCGUAGAUAUCAGGAGGAACACCUGUGGUGUAGACGGCUCUCUGGACCGCAACUGACGCUGAGACACGAAAGCGUGGGUAGCAAACAGG
rnacentral:rRNA from 1 species